GACGAACGCUGGCGGCACGCCUAACACAUGCAAGUCGAACGGUCUUACACGAGCUUGCUUUUUUGAGUUAGUGGCGGACGGGUGAGUAACACGUGAGCAACCUGCCUCUGAGAGUGGGAUAGCUUCUGGAAACGGAUGGUAAUACCCCAUAUAAUAUAAUUAUCGCAUGAGAGAUAUAGCAAAGAAAUUCGCUCAGAGAUGGGCUCGCGUCGGAUUAGCUAGUUGGUGAGGUAGCGGCGCACCAAGUCGACGAUCAGUAGCCGGUCCGAGAGGGUGAGCGGCCACACUGGGACUGAGACACGGCCCAGACUCCUACGGGAGGCAGCAGUGGGGAAUAGUGCACAAUGGAGGGAACUCUGAUGCAGCGAUGCCGCGUGGAGGAAGAAGGUUUUCGGAUUGUAAACUCCUUUUAUCAGGGACGAUAAUGACGGUACCUGAAGAAAAAGCUCCGGCUAACUACGUG
rnacentral:rRNA from 1 species